CAUGCCAAGCCAAGGAGUUUGGAGUUUAAUCUGAAAUAUGUGGGGAAUCAUUAGGGAAGCAAGCAUGGAGAUGACGUGAUUAUGUUGUAGAACAGCACUAUGCAAUAGAACCUUAUGCAAUAAUGGAAAUGUUCUCUAUCUGCACUGCUGAGUAGGUAACCAUAAGCCACAGGGGCUAUUGAGUACUUAAAAUGUGUGGCUUGAGUGACUGAGAAAUUGAAUUUUAAAUUUUAUUUAAUUUUAAUUUAAACUUGAAUAGCUCCAUGUGACUAGUGGCUACUAUUGGACAACACCGUUCUAGAAAGAUCAUUUGGAGAAUGGAUUGAAGGUGAUUUGGAGAUCUAAUUUUGAGGUAACUAUUAAAUGGAGACAUUCUAAAAUAAAUAUCUCUGGAGCCCAUGAGAGGGAGAUCUGGACUGAAGUUGUAAUUUUGGAGACUAUCAGCAGGACGCCUACCACAGCAUGGCUUGCCAAGCGGUGUCAUGUCCGCACCCGGGAUCCAAACCAGAGAACCCCAGGCCACCGAGAAGUGGAUCAUGAGAACUUAACCGCUACGCCACCAGGCCGGCCCCGGAUCUGGGACUUUUUAAGACAUGGAAAAAUGUUUUUGUUAUAAUGUUGACUAAAAUAAGAAUAUGAUUUCAAUGACAAAAAAAAAGGAAAUAAACUGAAAAAUGUCAUUAUUUUCCCCAUGUAUACAGCAGAAAUUAUUUGAUCUCUAGACAUUAUGCAAUCAUGGUAGUUGGUGGUUAGGGUGAGAAUAAAUGCUUAUAUCUAUAUGUGUAUCGAAGGUACUCAUCCAUUUUAAAAACAUUUAUAAACAUUGGAGUGGAAAUAAAUCCCUAUUUAUAUGCGUAUGAGUGUCAUGUAUACUCAUUCCUUCCACAAAUAUUUAUAAAUGCCUACCAGAUGCCAGGCAUUGUGCCAAGAACUAGGGAAGAGAAACAUGUUCAUUGCCUUCAGUCCAGUGAAAGAAACAGGAAGUGAGAUAAGAGCUAAUAGACGUAUAUGGAAACUUCUACGGAGGAACCAUUUGGUUUGACAGAUAUGUAGCUCCAUUUUGGACAAUUUAAGUUUGACCCUGUGGGAUAUGCAGGGAUAGAUGUUAAGUAGGAAGCCAGAAAUAUGUGUCUGUAACUCCAACUUGGGUUGGAGAUGUAGAUUGGCAGUCCCUAUCUAAUUAUGGGUAUAAGUGAUUUCUUCAUGAAAUUGAAGUGUGAGAAAAGGAACAUCAACAUUUAUAGGUCAGGUAGAGGAGGGGUAGCCAGGAAAGAAGACCGAG
rnacentral:lncRNA from 1 species